rnacentral:rRNA from 1 species
AUACGGAGGGGGCUAGCGUUGUUCGGAAUUACUGGGCGUAAAGCGCGCGUAGGCGGCUUAUCAAGUUAGGCUUGAAAGGCCUGGGCUCAACCCGGGAACUGCGCUUAAUACUGGUAGACUUGAGUCCGGGAGAGGGUGGCGGAAUUCCCAGUGUAGAGGUGAAAUUCGUAGAUAUUGGGAAGAACACCAGUGGCGAAGGCGGCCACCUGGCCCGGUCCUGACGCUGAGGUGCGAAAGCGUGGGGAGCAAACAGGAUUAGAAACCCCAGUAGUCC